rnacentral:rRNA from 1 species
GUAGGUGGCAAGCGUUGUCCGGAAUUAUUGGGCGUAAAGCGCGCGCAGGCGGUUCUUUAAGUCUGAUGUGAAAGCCCACGGCUCAACCGUGGAGGGUCAUUGGAAACUGGAGAACUUGAGUACAGAAGAGGAAAGCGGAAUUCCACGUGUAGCGGUGAAAUGCGUAGAGAUGUGGAGGAACACCAGUGGCGAAGGCGGCUUUCUGGUCUGUAACUGACGCUGAGGCGCGAAAGCGUGGGGAGCAAACAGGAUUAGAUACCCUGGUAGUCCACGCCGUAAACGAUGAGUGCUAAGUGUUAGGGGGUUUCCGCCCCCCUUAGUGCUGCAGCUAACGCAUUAAGCACUCCGCCAGGGAGUACGGCCGCAAGGCUG